AUUGAACGCUGGCGGCAGGCCUAACACAUGCAAGUCGAGCGGAGCGGCGGAAGGGUGAGUAAUACCUGGGAAUCUGCCUGGUAGUGGGGGAUAACGUUCGGACAUGGAGACUAAUACCGCAUACUAUCAGAUGAACCUAGGUCGGGUUAGCUAGUUGGUGAGGUACUGGCUCACCAAGGCGACGAUCCGUAACUGGUCUGAGAGGAUGAUCAGUCACACUGGAACUGAGACACGGUCGAGACUCUGACGGGAGGCAGCAGUGGGGAAUAUUGGACAAUGGGCGAAAGCCUGAUCCAGCCAUGCCGCGUGUGUUAAGAAGGUCUGCGGAUUGUAAAGCACUUUAAGUUGGGAGGCGUUACCGACAGAAUAAGCACCGGCUAACUCCGUGCCAGCAGCCGCGGUAAUAC
rnacentral:rRNA from 1 species